AGUGAACGCUGGCGGUAGGCCUAACACAUGCAAGUCGCACGGCAGCACAGUAAGAGCUUGCUCUUACGGGUGGCGAGUGGCGGACGGGUGAGGAAUACAUCGGAAUCUACUUUUUCGUGGGGGCUAACGUAGGGAAACUUACGCUAAUACCGCAUACGACCUACGGGUGAAAGCACGGGAUCUUCGGACCUUGCGCGAUUGAAUGAGCCGAUGUCGGAUUAGCUAGUCGGCGGGGUAAAGGCCCACCAAGGCGACGAUCCGUAGCUGGUCUGAGAGGAUGAUCGGCCACACUGGAACUGAGACACGGUCCAGACUCCUACGGGAGGCAGCAGUGGGGAAUAUUGGACAAUGGGCGCAAGCCUGAUCCAGCCAUACCGCGUGGGUGAAGAAGGCCUUCGGGUUGUAAAGCCCUUUUGUUGGGAAAGAAAAGCAGCAGGUUAAUACCCCGCUGUUCUGACGGUACCCAAAGAAUAAGCACCGGCUAACUUCGUG
rnacentral:rRNA from 1 species